CCACCUGUGCAUCUUCAUGGGCUCACCCGCAGUCCGGGAAGUUGGUUAUGUUUCGUGGAAGCGCGGUGCUGUACAGCCAUGCGCCGCAACGCUUUCUAUGAACUUUCAGCUUUCCUGUCUCAGCACUGCCAAGCGUGAAAAUCAAGGCAAUCCCUUACUUCUAAAUCCUUUCACAGUCGUGAAGAUGUUUGUCCACUGUAAGUGUAAAACAGGACCAGCCGUGACACUGUGUGGUUUUGCUGUUCUUGGCCCUGCCUCUCUCCGAGUGUCCCUGCCGUGGGAUGCCAUCGCCCUUGCUUGUGCCAGCCAUCCACGUCCCGGUGCCCUCCUUUGAGGGUUUGCCAACACUGACACCCGACUCAUCCCUUGAACCGACUAGGUCACUUCCAGCAAAACUUACUAGGUAUAAACUUUUUCUUUCUUUCUGAAAAAAGACAUUUGAUUUGUGGGAGUCAUUUGUACCUUUGCAUUCUUCAUCCCUAUAAUUCUUGGAACGUUUUAAGUUUCGAAAAAAUAAAACUAAUCAAAGAUCCAAAGGUUUCACAGAAAAAGAAAUACCUAAGCCACUGAAUCUCAUUAUUAACAUCUGCUUUGUGAUGUGUUCUGCAUGUAUUGAGGCUGAAAGAACAGGCAUACAAUGAUAUUUAUACCUGUGCCAUAGACCUUGAGAGCACAGAACUGUAAGCUAACAUGCUUAUAUUCUCAUAUGACUAUGAUACAAUUAUACGCUGCAUCUAACUGCAAAUGAAGGCAUUGUUUAAUAAAAAAUGCUCUUGUUGAGCCAAAUCUAUUGUGUACAUGCAGAACUGUCGAACAAAGUGCUGAGCUAUUUCAACUCCUAUUCACUUGUAGCAGCUGCUCAAUUAAAUCAGAGUUUAAUGUCAGCAUUUUAGAGUGCUGAUUUCUGAGGGUUACUUGAUUUAAACAGUACACUCAAAUCAACCUUUCUACUACUCAAAUCAAUUCUUGCUCAGGAGAUAAUGAUGCUCAAGACUUUUUUCAAAUAAAACCUUUCACUGAAAGAGAACAAGAAAAUUUUGACACAUUUAGCUCCUCCUUCCUUUCCCCAAGAUCUGCCAGUAGAAAUGGAUGAGUAAUCUGUCUGUUCCAAGGCUAGUGAAUAAAUCUGGAACCGUAGAGUCACUGCAUGGUCUAACUACCACUUGUAUAAAUACUUCUGCCAACCAGAUAUUUCUUGUCGUAAGCAGUGUAAUUAGUUUUCAUUUUAUGACAGGAUUCCUGCUAUGAAGAAGUUAUGAUUGGUCUUUUGCCCUGCUGACUCUGUUUUAGACAAAAUCUAUUACAUCUUUGCAUGAGAAAUGAGUUUACAAAUGUGGUGAUCAGCCCAUUUGAAACUUCCAGAUCAGUUGCCCACCAGUAUUCCAGCCACAUACACACCUCUGCUAUUGUAUUGAUGGCAUGUAUUUUUUUCUUCUGUGGUUUGAAAUAAUCCUUUUUCUUUUUCUCUUUCAGGUUUAUAUUUAUAGACCCAUAAAAUUGUUUAGGUUAGAAAAGACCCUUUGGAUCAUCAAGUCCAACUGUUAACCUAGCACUUCCAAGUCCACCACUAAACCAUGUUCCUAAGUGCCACACCCUCUAGGGAUGGCACCUCUACCACUUCCAUAAGCAGCCUGUUCCAAGGCUUGACAACCCUUUUGAUGAAGAAAUUUUUCCUAAUAUCCAAUCUGAACUUUCCCUGGUGCAGCUCGAGGCACUGUUUUUUUUCAUUACAUUUUAGUAAUAGAGUCUACAAAUUCAGAUUCAGACAGCAUUUUGAUGACAUAUUCAAGGUAAAUGUUUGAUAAUCAUGAAUUUAUUUUAGCUGCUUUCACCUGCUUUCCUCACAAGUAGUCCUUCUGAACUAUAAAAAGACUAUUUCUUGCUGAAAUGUGGGGUUUUUUCAUACUAUUGAAAAUCAUUGUCUAUACUCAAAAGCAUCCAUUUAGCAAUGUGUUUACUUAGCAAGAACAAAUUCUUCAGUUAAACUGUUUUAACUAUAAAAUCAAGAUUGAGGUAUCAAUGCUCAGAAAAGUAACUCUUUAAGAUACAUGACACUCAUAAACUACUGAUAAAAUUUCAAGGCAUUACUGUAAUACAAGAAUUAAUAUGAGACUGUUAUUAAAUUGGGAAAAAAAUAGAGUUAUACUACUUGCCAUCCAUCUUGACAAACGGGCCCACGCAAAACUCAUGAAGUUCAACAGGUCAGUUAUGAGGUCCUGUCCCUGGGUCAGGGUAAUCCCAAGCACAAAAACAAGCUGAGCAGAGAGAAGCACUGGUGAGAAGGACUUAGAGGGUUGGUUGAUGAGAGGCUCAGCAUGACCUAGCAAUGCACACUUGCAGCCCAGAAAGCCAACUGUAUCCUGGGCUGCAUCAAGAGAAGUGUGGCCAGCUGGUGCAGGGAGGGGAUUCUCCCCCUCUGCUCUGCUCUCCCACCUGGAGCAUCCACCUGGAGCACAGCAUUCAGCUCUGGGGCCCCCAACAUGAGAUGAAUGGGGACCUGUUUGAACCAGUCCAUAGGAAAGCCACUUCAGAAGAUGAUCUGAAGGCUGAAGGACCUCUACUAGAAAGACAGAGAGGGCUGGGGUACAGUCUGGAGAAGAGGAAGCUCCAGGAGACCUUAAAGCACCUUCCACCUACAGGGGAUCUACAAGAGUGUUGGAGAGGGAAUUUUUACAAGGAGUAAUGGCUUUAAAUUGAAAGAGGUCAGGUUUAGAUAUUAGGAGGAAAUUCUUUACUGUGAGUGGUGAGGCACUGAAACAGGUUGCCCAGAGACUUUGUGGAUGCCCUAUCCCUGGAACUGUUCCAAGCCAGGGUGGACAGAUCUUUGACCAACCUGGUGUAGUGUCUCUGUCUAUGACAGGGGGGUUGGAAUUAGAUGACCUUUAAGGACCCUUUCAACCCAAACCAUUCUAUGAUACUUCAGUAGGUAUCAUCAAUACAAAUAUCCAGUGAUAUGGACUUUAAGAUACUGUUUCAACUUGGUUUUACCUUAGUUGUACCACACCUGUUCUAGCAAGAUUUUUAACAAAGAUCUCUGCUCUGAAAACUGACCAGACUUAAUCCAAUGUCACUUUAAAAAUCGAAUGUACUGGUUCUUAAGAUUGUAGCCUAUAUUUCCAUAUGAAAAGCUUUGCAGCAUUCCUUUUUAAUUGGUAGGAGCAACAUGAACACUCCAUACAUAAGCAAUGUGUGUCCCUUUUGCCAUAAAGCUAAACCAAACAUAAAUGAGUUCUACAAUAUUUAUAAUUUUUUACGCUUAUAUUUAUUUUGAACACCUUUAUAUAUCAUUCUAUCUUUCUGUCCUCAAAAUGUCUGGAAACAGCCAGGAUUUUGCUGAGGAGGAGUAAUAAAUCUGUGUUUGAUCUCUAAAUGUGCAACAAGGAUCUCUUCUGGGUUAAUCUUCUGGCCUGUGGUAUCAGUGGAGAAAAGAGUAUCUCUGUAACUCAGCCACUUAGAACUGUCCCACCAAUAAAAAGGAACAGGUCCUACCUGCUUUUUAUUGCUUGUUUCUGUUCCCAUGCUACGAGUGUAAGCACAAGGAUUCAUUUAGCAGGUGAAUGAACUGUGUGUAAAGCUGAUCAACUUAAAAGUACCUUUUAGUUUAGUAAAAACUCACUAAACUUUUUUGUUAAUUUGUUGUUAUUUUGCUUUGAGGUUACAAUUAUCCCCAGUUAGAGCUCCAGAUCUGUUUGAGUUGUGUGUAAACACCUGUAGAAGCACAAGCUGCAAAACAACAGAUGUGUCUAGGUGGCUGGGCAAACAGAAGGGAGGGAGGGAGAGAGAGGAAGUUUCAUGCCAGCCUCUGUCUUCAGUGCCAGUGUAUAUUAGCUCAAAAUGAGAAGUCAGACUGUGGCACGAAUAGAGAUACCUUCAUAUUGGUAUUAUGCACAAACCCACAUUCAGUAGCUACAGAAGCGUCUCACAGAAUAUUUCUGCAUUUAUGAUGUAAUAUUUAAUAACACUUUAUGCUAAUCUAUUGCACAACCUGGUCUUAUAGCUAGAUCUCCAAAUCCUAAACCAGAGCAGGUAGAAGCUGAUUGAGCUGCAUCCUAAAAGAUGGGAAAGAGACCAGGGAUCUGUUUUGGUCAGAUAGAAAAGGACACGAUGGGGUAAAAGUAUUUCCAAAGUCUGAACAUACAGUUAUAUAUAAAAGUAUUUCAUAGGAGAAUAAAAAGAUAAAACCUUAGCAAGUCAUAGCAAUAUCACUUCUUCAGGGACAGAUUUGCUGCUUGUGAAAGUAAGUGCAAACUGUAGCAACUAAUCCAGCAAAAUGCCAGCAGAUGCUGUGUAACCUCCUCAGGGCUGGGCCAGUUCACAUGCCUGGUGUGCAUGCCUGGUGUGCAGGAUAUGGGCCUCUCUCAACACGUCUUGCCAAAUUUGCAGUGCAACCAAGCUGCAGGCAGAAGUGCACCAGGCACUAACCCAACCCCUCACUCUAUUUUGUGAGAAAGGAGGUUUGUACUUGCUUUCUGAGGUGACAGUCUUGAGGUCAGUCAUUUGGCAAUUAGUCAGCAUUCAUUUGUGUAUAAACAACCUCUAGGCAAGUAUGUAAUUCUGGCACCUUGAACCAAAUGCCCCAUUUCAGGUUCCUUAGUCAUUCUGGAGGCACUGACUGUCAUGGAAUGCUGUGGGUAUGCUGCAUGCCUUUGUCAGGCAUUCUAAACUACCACCUCUGGUCAAGACACUGCCAUUUGUGUGGUUGCAAAACCCAUAAUUGGCAAAAAUAUGAAUUUAAAUUAGAACUUCUUAAAAUCCUAACCUCUUUCUUAAUUUUUAAUGAAACCUAUUUUAGUAAUGUAAAAUAAUUCAGGAUUUGUUUGGGUUUUUGUUUCCUCGUGAAAAAGAUAAACUCUUAAGACACAGAAAAACAUACUGCACUCUGUUUCCAAUGCUGUUUCAGUAAAAAUUGAACAGAAUGCUGAAUGCACAUGCAGUCCCUGAAGGAGGGACCAGAACUCAGGCAUGCAGAACUCCCACAUUCUCAGGCCUAUUUCCCUAGGAACAAACUAAUUUGAAUGAUGAAGUAUGGAAGUACACAGUUCUAGAAGCAAAAACAUUUGCACAGAUCUAUUUUUGUGAUUAAGAAUGUUCAAUUUUUUCCAAAGGGAAAUUCAGUGUCAGUAUAAUUUUGGGAGAAGUUGAAAAGAGAUAACCAGUAGGUGACACUAAGUAAAAUGGGUGUGUUUAAAACAGGUUCUUCACAGAGAACUGUGGGCUAGGUGUGGCUGUUCAUAAGGUUUCACAGACCACAUCCUCUUUUCAGAUUAGGCACUCAACAAGAAAGAAACUCCCAUCUGCAUACUAGCUUCAGAAAUGGCAAACCUUCAGACUUCAGCAGAAAUUCUUGAUCUACCAGAGGCAGAUCCUUCAGAAAAGACAGAGCACUGAUAACUUCAGAGUGUCCCAAGUUGUAUCUCCUGACAAUUACCAUCCUUCAUAAAGAGACUGCCAUCACAAGCUGUAUCUGCUAUGUUCUUCCAAAACUUUUACUAGUGAUCUAAAGAUAUCUGAAUCAUUUUUUUAUAAUAAAUGAUGCAGUGCAACAGAACCUACACUCAAGCAGUAAGAGCAGCUCACGUAACUCUGUGCUGAUGGUGACUUCUGAGUACUCUGGAUGCCAGCUGUAAGUUUUGGCUGAAAACAUUUUGUGGGCACAAUAUUAAUGCUAAAAGGAAUGCCCAUCGGGACAACGUUAGUUUAAGCAAAGCACAUUUUAAAUUCACAAGGGAGCCAGAUGUUGGAGCCAUUUGAGAAUCCAGGCAAAAAGCUGCCAGCAGUGGAGGAACUGCAUGAGGAUCUCUUAGCAGUAAGGUGAGCACUAAUUUGCUAUCAGACUCAACCCCAGAUUUCUCUCAUCUAGCUUUUGCCAAUAUUCACAUUUUGUACGUGAUCUUGGUCUGUGUGUUUCAAAUCUGCAUUUCAGCUUCACAGAUGGUAGGUUUGGUCUUCUGGAUGGAAAUAUUACAACUUGUCUUGGAAAUUUUAGAUCUGGGCUUCCUUUCAAGAGAAUCUCAAGUGUAUGUCCUGUGCAGAAAUGCAUCUAUUUCAUUAACUAGCCAAGCCUACAAUAUUAAAAUUCAACUCCAGUCUUCCUUCUCUGGCAGAAUGUGGCACUGUUGACAUUCUAUCAAAUCCAAAUGUCCUAGGGUUGUAAAAUGAGAACCAUAAGAAUAGUGACUUGUAAUAAAUAUUUGUAGAGGUGGAGAAUUCAAAGCCACAAAUACAACUUUUCUAGUUAGGUACUAAAACUAAACCACAUUUUAUGGGAAGAUAAUAUGUCUGCAACUACUUGUGAAGUUUCUAGCAGCAAUGCAAUCCUUAAUUCAUAUUUACAAAAUUGACAUCCUCAUUCUUGGUGAUUCAGUAGAUUGCAAAUGUUCUUCUGAAAAAAAAAAAAGGUAUUUCAAUAAACCCUAAGAUAUAUUUUAAUCCUUUGAAGGUAAAUUGAAUAAUUCUUCCAUGAAAAUGUACUACCUUCACAUGGAAUGGAAUGAGAAAAAGACAAUUCUAGUUGAAACUUUAUGUUGGAACAUUGGACCUGAAAGUAUGUAAUUAAGUUAUUUUUCUUGCUCUUGCUGUUUUAUUGAGGAAAAGUGUUUCAGCUUAAUACUUCCAUACAGUUAAGAUUUCACAUUUGAUAAUUCUGUGAUUGCUAAGACUUCUUUCUAAUAGACAGCAACAUGCUCACACUUCAACCUGCUGCCCAAGAUAAAGGGGGUUGGACCAUUAAAGGUCCCCUCCAACCUAAACUAUUCUAUGGUUUUGUGAUUCUAAGACUAAUCUGUCACAGACUAUGCUAGACUGCAAAUGCCCAGUAAAUAUAAAGAAUACAGACAUCACAAUAAUUUUAAAGGAAAUUUGCACAUGCUGGAAAGGAACUAAAUAAUGAAACAUCUGAAGUACAUCAAAUUUGUUUAGGGAACAAAAUAAACAUUUCCUUGUGACAAAGGAGGAAAAUAAUUUAGGAGAAAUGUUACUUGCAUUGUUCCUUGCAAUAAAAAAGACCCCUCAAAUAAUCCUUCAAUAUUUUUUAAGAUAUUCUUUCAUAUUUUAUAUCACUUAUAACUGAAAAUUACAAUAAUUUAUUAUGACAUUAUUCGUCCAUAUAUAUCCAUAUUUUAAUCUUUUUUCCCCUAUAGCAGGUUGUUUCAGAUCAUAACAAUAAAAUAUUUUGAGCACUAAAGUGUUUUGCUAAUGUUUAGUAAUAUAUGCAAUUCUGGAAAUAAUUAUUUUCACUUCUCACUUUUUCUUUCUUUAUUUUUUUUUUAAUUCAUAGCCACAAAUGUUUAUAUAGCAGAUCAAAUUUCUAUAUAAAACUCAGAAAUUCCAGAAUUGUUUCUGAAACAGUUCAGUGUAGUCCCAAAGCAACCUACAGUUAUCAUAAUUACUUUUAUAGAAAUUAGGUGUGGUUAGACACUGAAAAAAUAGGGUUCAAUUCUAACUCUACAGUCAAUUGAAUCUCUGCUGUUCUAAGGCUGGUUCAUCAAAGCCCCAGUCCAUAGUAAUCACAUCGCUAGUCUGACAUAUGCCAGUUGAGAAAGUCCCUAAAAUGCCAGCCACCAUGUGGGAACAGCUAAAGCACAGUAGCUAUUGCUCUGAUCCUUUCUGUUCCUCCAGUAUUCUUCAGGCAAAGGAGCCAAAACAAAACUAACUACAUCAACAAAGUCACCUCGAUGACAUUAUGUAAUUUAUGAGCAUCUGUCUGCAUUUUGUCUAGCUUUGUAAACUGCCUUUUGCUAUAUUUUUGUCUCCAAGUUAUUCCCAGCUUUCCUAUUCUGACCUAUUUCAUGUCUGUAUCUUCACCCACAUGCCCAGAUCCUGAGCAGUCACACCGUGCAUAAGCUUGGGUGCACUCAAAAGUGGUGGAAGAAAGUCCUAACAGGCAUAAGGGGGUCACUAAGACCUCAGGACUACUGAUCCUCUGCAGCACUCUGCAUUGGAUACUCACUGGCACCUUGGGAUAAAAAAUUGGCACAGGAGUGCCUUGGUCACUCCCAUGUAGUGACCCACAAAUUAUCACAACCUGUGUUCUCUCAGGGCUCACAAGCCUUCAUGUCUAGGAUAGUUCUCAAGAAAAAAAAUUUGAAUGGCCUAAACUGGAGUUUCCACCUGGAGUCAGUUUGGCUCAUGUAGUUUUUCACUGUACGCUGCUGAAUGAAAGUUUCCUCAGCUGGUGUUGGACUAUCUCAAAAGCCAGCCCUAGCAGAGCCGGGGUGUGAGCUAGGACAGAUGCUGUGCACUGGACAUACAUACUUGGCAUGGCUGGGGCCAGGGGCCUCUGACAGGCCCAUUAAAAGGCUCCUCUUUUUGUUUUUGUCCCCUCCCUUCAAUCUUUGUUUGCAGGCUGUCCUAGAGUGAUGUUGUGAUGCUUGUAUCCCCAGUCGUGUGUUCUGUUUAUGCUGGAUAUUAUUUUCUGUGCCUUCAAGACUGGCUCUGAAGAGCAGAGUUUUGUUUUGGUUUUGUUAUCAGCCUGCUCCCCCACAGCUGGCGGGACACAGAGACAGGGCAGUACAUAGUGCUGCUUUUGCUUUUUGCUUUGCUCUUGCUUCUGCUUUGCCCUUUUUUUUGCUUCUGCUCGUUAAUUAGUUUAGCUAGGCAGUCCGAUUUUUUCCUGGACUGUUUUUUGGUUUUUUUUCUUUCCUUUUUUUGGAACCACUUGAACCUGCUCUGGACUGGGACCUGGGAAACACCAAGAGUUUGCACCUUGCGGCCUGCAACAGCCAUCCCCAGUGCCGGAGGGACCGAUAACAGAGCAACCACUCCCAGGAGAGACUUUCUGAGUUUGUAAUCUCUGCAGAGCGGUGAAAGAGUGUUGUCAUCUGGUAUUGUUCAUUUUGUGUGCUGGGGGGAGCUGUGCCUGUUAAAUAAACAGGUUCUUUCCACUUCUCUCCGAAGAAUCCUUCCCAAACCGGUUGAGAGGAGGGGCCGUGUGGGUUUUCUAUCUGGAGGGUCCCCCUUUGGAGGUUUUCUCCCAAAUUUGCCCUAAACUAGGAGAGAGGCUGAUGGAAAAAUACAGAGUAUGGUUGGUUUUCUUUGGAUGGCUCCAUUGCUACUCACAGGAGCAAAUACUGCUGCCAGAAGCAUGUAGUUUCUUUGGGGGAAAGGUGGGCAUCUUGCAGAGGACAAGAGGCUGAUCUUGGUAUUGGUGAUGAAUCACACACAAAACAGGGAAUCACAUAUAAAGUGGGCUCACUUUACUAUACUGUACUGUAACUACAGGAAACUUUAAUGUUUCCUUUACUGCAAGAUACACCAGGUGGGCUCAAGGUACUUGAAAAGAGUUCUCUAACAGGUCUUCAGAACACAUGGCCUGAACAAGAGACUGGUUGAAUGAGAGA